rnacentral:rRNA from 1 species
CCUACGGGAGGCAGCAGUGGGGGAUAUUGCACAAUGGGGGAAACCCUGAUGCAGCGACGCCGCGUGGGUGAAGAAGCGCCUCGGCGCGUAAAGCCCUGUCAGCAGGGAAGAAAAUUACGGUACCUGAAGAAGACGCCCCGGCUAACUACGUGCCAGCCGCCGCGGUAAUACGUAGGGGGCAAGCGUUAUCCGGCUUUACUGGGUGGAAAGGGGGCGCGGCCGGGGAUGCAAGCCAGGAGGGAAAGCCCGGGGCCCAACCCCGGGACUGCUCUUGGAACUGCGUGGCUAGAGUGCAGGAGGGGUAGGCGGAAUUCCUGGUGUAGCGGUGAGAUGCGUAGAGAUCAGGAGGAACACCGGUGGCGAAGGCGGCCUGCUGGACUGCAACUGACGUUGAGGCCCGAAAGCGUGGGGAGCAAACAGGAUUAGAUACCCGAGUAGUC